AGAGUUUGAUCAUGGCUCAGAUUGAACGCUGGCGGUAGGCUUAACACAUGCAAGUCGUGCGAGAAAGUACCUUCGGGUGCGAGUAGAGCGGCGGACGGGUGAGUAACGCGUAGGAAUCUACCUAGUAGAAGGGGAUAGCCCGGGGAAACUCGGAUUAAUACCGUAUACCUCCUUGGGGAGAAAGAGGGCUUAGCUUUGAUGCUCUCGCUAUUAGAUGAGCCUGCGUAAGAUUAGCUUGUUGGUGAGGUAAUGGCUCACCAAGGCGACGAUCUUUAGCUGGUCUGAGAGGACGAUCAGCCACAUUGGGACUGAGACACGGCCCAGACUCCUACGGGAGGCAGCAGUGGGGAAUAUUGGACAAUGGGCGCAAGCCUGAUCCAGCCAUACCGCGUGUGUGAAGAAGGCUUUCGGGUUGUAAAGCACUUUAAGUAAGGAGGAAAAGAUUGUAGUUAAUACCUUCAAUCCGUGACGUUACUUACAGAAUAAGGACCGGCUAAUUCCGUGCCAGCAGCCGCGGUAAUACGGAAGGUCCAAGCGUUAAUCGGAAUUACUGGGCGUAAAGCGCGCGUAGGUGGUUUUUUAAGUUGGAUGUGAAAGCCCUGGGCUCAACCUAGGAACUGCAUCCAAAACUAGAUGACUAGAGUACGAAAGAGGGAAGUAGAAUUCACAGUGUAGCGGUGGAAUGCGUAGAUAUUGUGAAGAAUACCAAUGGCGAAGGCAGCUUCCUGGUUCUGUACUGACACUGAGGUGCGAAAGCGUGGGUAGCGAACAGGAUUAGAUACCCUGGUAGUCCACGCCGUAAACGAUGACAACUAGCUGUUGGG
rnacentral:rRNA from 1 species